rnacentral:rRNA from 1 species
GACGAACGCUGGCGGCGUGCUUAACACAUGCAAGUCGAACGGAAAGGCCCUGCUUGCAGGGUACUCGAGUGGCGAACGGGUGAGUAACACGUGGGUGAUCUGCCCUGCACUUCGGGAUAAGCUUGGGAAACUGGGUCUAAUACCGGAUAGGAGCCAUCUUUAGUGUGGUGGUUGGAUAGUUUUUUCGGUGUAGGAUGAGCUCGCGGCCUAUCAGCUUGUUGGUGGGGUAAUGGCCUACCAAGGCGGCGACGGGUAGCCGGCCUGAGAGGGUGUACGGCCACAUUGGGACUGAGAGACGGCCCAGAGUCCGACGGGAGGCAGAAGGGGGGAAUAUUGCACAAUGGGCGCAAGCCUGAGGCAGGGAGGCCGCGUGGGGGAUGAAGGCCUUCGGGUUGUAAACUCCUUUCGCUAGGGACGAAGCCUUGUUGUGACGGUACCUAGACAAGAAGCACCGGCUAACUACGUG